GAUGAAGAACGCAGCGAAAUGCGAUAAGUAGUGUGAAUUGUAGAAUUCCGUGAAUCAUCGAGUCUUUGAACGCACAUUGCGCCCCCUGGUAUUCCGGGGGGCAUGCCUGUCCGAGCGUCAUUGCUGCCCUCAAGCACGGCUUGUGUGUUGGGCCUCCGUCCUCCUCCCGGGGGACGGGCCCGAAAGGCAGCGGCGGCACCGCGUCCGGUCCUCGAGCGUAUGGGGCUUCGUCACCCGCUCUUGUAGGCCCGGCCGGCGCUUGCCGACACAUCAAUCUUUUUUCCAGGUUGACCUCGGAUCAGGUAGGGAUACCCGCUGAACUUAAGCAUAUCAAUAAGCGGAGGA
rnacentral:misc_RNA from 1 species